rnacentral:rRNA from 1 species
AAAUGGACUCUCAGCAACGGAUAUCU